rnacentral:tmRNA from 1 species
UAAGUGUUGAAUUGGUUUGUUCAUUUCCUGUUCAACACCGACAAUCAAUAAUGAAAUAAACAUGUAGAAAGCUUUCGGAGAAUAUGUUUGGACACCGGUUCGAAUCCGGUCGCCUCCACAA